rnacentral:misc_RNA from 1 species
CUGAGUACCGGGUCUCUCAGGCCCUUACUCCCACCCUUUGUGUACCUUACCAAAUUUCAGUUGCCUUGGUGGGACCUCCUCUAAAUCCCCCUUGGAUUGGUUUUUCUAAUCCUUGGGUAGAGCCCACCAUUGGAACUUUUUUAAACUCUUGAUAAUUGAGUUGUCUGAGAAUAAAAACAAAUAAAUUA